rnacentral:rRNA from 1 species
UACGGAGGGUCCUAUCGUUGCUCGGAAUUACUGGGCGAAAAGCACAAGUACCCGCAACAAAAAGGUAGAAGAGAAAUCCCUGCCCUCACCCUAGGAGUUGCUUUUAAAGCUUUUGUUCUGGAAUUCGGGAGAGGAGAAUGGAAUUUCCGGUGUAGAGGGGAGGGUCGUAAAUCUUGGAAGGAACGCCAGUGGCGAAGGCGAUUUUCUGGACUGAUAUUGAGGCUGAGAUGCGAAGGCGUGGGUAGCAAACGGGAUUAGAUACCCCGGUAGGCCAUGCAGGGACGAUGGGUGCUAGACGUCGGACUUUUGUUCGCUGUCGUAGCUGACGCGUUAACCACCCCGCCUGGGGAGUAGGGGCGCAAGAUUAAAUCUCAAAUUAAUUGACGGGGACCCGCACAAGCAGUGGAGCAUGUGGUUUAAUUGGACGCAACGCGAAGAACCUUACUCAGCGUUUGACACGGAAAGUCCCGGUUACAGAAUGGUAACUGCUCAGUUCGGCUGGCUUUCACACAGGUGCCGCAUGGCUGUCCUCAGCUGGUGUCGUGAGAUGUUGGGUUAAGUCUCGCAACGAGCGCAACCCUGAUCGUUAGUUACUAACAGUUCGGUUGAGGACUCUAGCGAAACCGCCGGUGAUAAGGGGGAGGAAGGUGGGGAUGCCGUCAACUCCUCAUGGCCCUUCCUCGCUGGGCCCCACACGUCUCACACUCGUAACUACACCGGGCCGCACUGCCGCGAGGUGGAGCAAAUCUCCAAAAGUUCUCUCAGUUGGGAGUGCGCUCUGCAACUCGAGUGCACGAAGUUGGAAUUGCUCGUAAUCGCGGCUCAGCAUGCCGCGGAGAAUACCUUCCC